rnacentral:lncRNA from 1 species
UUAUACAAAAACAGAUACAAAAUGGUGUUGGGACUUCCUUACCGGAAAUUACUAAACAUGUGUGCAUAUAUUUUUUAAAUCUCUUUAUUUCCACUCUGCCCCUUUGGCUGAAAUUAAUACAAUAUCUGCCCUUCUCUUGUAAGAGCACCAGAGUACAAUAUACCCAUUUUGAAAAACAGCCAUACCCAUCCCCCACGAAAUGCAGUUUAAUGAAAGUCAGAAAACCAGAAAGCCUAACGUCCUUUUUUCUCCUCCUGCACUAAUGAAAGCAGAUCCUCCUAGUGGCUUAGAAACAGUAUACCUGAGGGACUUACCUAGUAGUCCAGUGAUUAGGAAUCCACCUUCCAAAGCAGAGGACUCGGGUUCAAUCCCCAGCCAGAGAACUAAGAUCCCACAAGCCCCAGGGCAACAAAGCCUGCCCACCGCAAGUACUGAGCCCACGUGCCACAACUAGAGAAACUCUUCGCUGCAACCAAAGAUCCCGCACAGACAACAAUGANNNNNNNNNNNNNNNNNNNNNNNNNNNNNNNNNNNNNNNNNNNNNNNNNNNNNNNNNNNNNNNNNNNNNNNNNNNNNNCUCCAAGCUCCCAAGGCAGGGGGCUAGGGUUCAAUCCCUGGUGGAGGAACUAGAUCCCACAUGCCACAACCAAGGCCCUAAGCAACCUCAUGACAAACCCUUCUAUCUCUCCAAUAGACAAGCUUCAAGGUCACAGCACAGUUAUGGGGCACCAGCUCAGCACCCUAACCCCCCUUCAGGCAAGCAAUCUGGGCUACCUCUCUGUCUUCAUGUCAGGGCUGUGUGGUUCGGCUGUUGUCCCUGUUUUGGAGACUGGGGUGGGGAACGCAAAGGAAGAACUAGAAUAAAGGGGAAAACUCUUAGUUUUGAAAAGUGACAAAUAACCAUGAAGGGUUACAGGAAGUUCUUCUGGGCUGUGCUGUGCUUUGCUUAAUCGCUCAGUCAUGUCCAACUCUUUGCCACCCCAUGGAUGGUAGCCCACCAGGCUUCUCUGUCCAUGGUGAUUCUCCAGGCAAAAAUACUACAGUGGAUUGCCAUGCCCUCCUCCAGGGAACCUUCCCAACUCAGGGAUCAAACCCAGGUCUCUUACAUGGCAGGUGGAUUCUUUUACCAUCUGAGCCACCAGGGAAGCCCAAGAAUACUGGAGUGGNUUGCCAUUUCCUUCUCCAGGGGAUCUUUCCGACCCAGGGAUCAAACCCCACGUCUCCUGCAUUGGCAGGCGGAUUAUUUACCACUGAGCCAGCUGGGAAGCCCCAGAAAGAGGUUCUGAGUCUCCAAGAAAUAAAGCAAAAUGUCAGGGGUCUUUUUCUGGGGAUUUUUCUUCCCUUUUUUUCAGCUGAUUUACUUCCUUUAAGAAUAAGAAAACUGGGGACUUCCCUAGUGGUCCAGCUGCUAAGGCUCUGCCCUCCCAAUGCAGGAGGCCCAGGUUCAAUCCCUGCUCAGGGAACUAGGUCCCACAUGCCAAAACUAAAGAUCCUGCAGGCCACCACUAAGACCCGGCACAGCCAAAUAAAUAAAAAUAUUAUAAAAGUAAGAAAAUUGUGCAUAUUCACAGCAAGCCAAAACCACAGUCAAGCCCAAGUAAGACCAAAGGCAGAGGCACUCUUUGAUGUUGGAAUGCAGUGGAAGAAGGCGCAUCAUUUUGAGUUUUUCUAAGACAGACGGGGAAUCCCACAGACAGAGGAGCCUGGCAGGGGUCCAUGGAGUCACAAAGAGUCGGGCGAGACUGAGCAACUGAGCAGCAAGACCGACUGGACCACAAAACAGGCUCUCCAGAACGGAAGCUGUCCUGAACCUGUCUUAGUCACAGGACCGUAAGCUUCGCCCUCUGGGUCUGGACCGUCUCCCCUGCCCGAUGGUGAAUAACCUGAAGUCUUUCCCAACACAGCCACCUGUGGGAGGAGCAUCCCACAGACAGCGUCCAUGGAAUCGAGUUAACAAACGCUUGCUGAACCAAUAUUCCUCAUGCUUCCUAUUUCAGGCUCUGUUCUCACCCUCUACUAAAGGAGGCCCAUCGUAGGCCAGGUUCUGUGCUGAACACACCAAAGGUUAAAGCUCCGCUGCGCUGAAAGGUCGAGGAGGGGACAGACCCCUCCUCCAGACUUUUCUCCUCUGAGAAAAGGAUGCCACCCCUCCAGGAUGCCACUCACCUCCACUCCCCAAGAGCCUGGGCACCAGGAGCCACUGUGCUCCUCAGGGGCCCAUCAAUGACCCCUUUGACCUCUGAGCUCCCUUACUCAGAGCCUCAAACAGUUCCCAGAGCAGAACACCUGCCGUCCACCCGUUCCCACUGACCACCACCCCACUGCCCCUUCCAACCAGAAAUCCCAACUCCAACUGACUCCUUGAGACUCAGUGAAAUCUGCCCUCCCUAAGGAAUCUGGCUGCCAGCUUCCAGGCCUCUUCAGCCUAAAGUAUGGGCAGAGUAAAGCAAGCCCUGGCACUUGGCUCUGCCCUUUCAGGACGUACUAAUCGCAUUUCCCCCAUCGGGCCUGGAGGGCCUCCCUCAGAAUAAGCAGACAGUAGAAUCAGCAACAGGGAGCCAGGCUGAGCCCCUCGACCGCUCCCUCCCUGGCCUUGGUCUCCUUCCUCCUGGGUAUAAGGAGGGACAAGAUGGGAAGCUCUGAGGUUCCUUUUACUCUGAUUCCAAAAUCUGAAAUUCCAUAUGGGUUCCCUAUAUGCAACUGAGAAAGGUUCCUAUUAUUCCUCCACUGACCUUUCAAACAGGUGUCCCCGCUGAUGCAAACUGUCCAAAUGCUUGAUUUUCAAAGAGUUUUGGAUCUUAAAUUUGGGGGCGGGGUGGUAAAUAAAUUUUACAAGUCUGAGUUUUUUUUCCUCCUUUCAUUCCUAGAAAGAAAGUGAAAGGGUCGGGGUGGGGAGCUGACCCGCACGGUUUUGCUACUAGGAUCAAGAGCUCGGGAUUCGCUCCACCUGGGUUUCUCCUCCGGGCGUGUAGACCAUGCGCGGCCCGCCGCGCCCGACCCGCAAAUCCCCCCGACAGUCUCAAAUUGCCAGGGCCUCCCGAGCCUCGUCUCGCCCGGGGUUGGUCAAGUGUCCCUACCGCGGCACCACUUGGAGCCUCGGGCGCGUCCAGAUGGCCGGGCGGCCCCGCUGUCACCUGGCCCCGCUCCGCCCGGCGCGGCCCUCGCUCCAGCGCAGGUCUCUCCUUGGCUUCCCGAGUCAAGCCUGGCCUCCAGGAGGCCCCCGGGCCCGGCGGCGAAGGCACCUGCCCCGCCCGGGGAAGUGCACGAGCCCGAGAGUCCCUCCGGCCGCCACCUCGACGGGAGCGUACAGGAGAAACGCAGGAGAAAGGAAAACAUGCCCGAGG